rnacentral:rRNA from 1 species
UACGAAGGGGGCUAGCGUUGCUCGGAAUCACUGGGCGUAAAGCGCACGUAGGCGGCUUUUUAAGUCAGGGGUGAAAUCCUGGAGCUCAACUCCAGAACUGCCUUUGAUACUGGCGAUCUUGAGUCCGGAAGAGGUGAGUGGAACUCCUAGUGUAGAGGUGGAAUUCGUAGAUAUUAGGAAGAACACCAGUGGCGAAGGCGGCUCACUGGUCCGGUACUGACGCUGAGGUGCGAAAGCGUGGGGAGCAAACAGGG